CACGCAAGUCUGUAACAAUGUUGGGUGUCUCCGAGCAUGUUUAUACAUGCCCUACCUCACCACCCACAACUUCUCCUCCAAGACAGCUAAGGGUAGGAUGUAAGAGACAUCAUCUCCAUUGAAAACUGGAACUAUUUUAUCUUCUGACAUUUGGUUGUUUAAGUGUACUUUAGCUGGUUUCGAUAUACAGGCACAAAGGUCAGAUUGCGGACCAGCCCCCCCAGAGAAGCCUCCCCAGAGCACCAAACCUUCCAGUGCAGAAAAAUGACAGGAUAACCCGAAGAGGAUGGAGAGGAAGUGAAGUGAGCUCAUUUCCUAUAAUGGCAAGAAGAAGGAAAUGGAUUGUGGGAGGGGAGAGAAGGGAUAAUGGUUUGCUGUAUGUGUGUUUAAUGACAUGGUCAGACAAAAAAAAGCCCCCACUCCCCAAAGGCACUUUGCAAUGUAAGCAAUAUAAAGAGGGGAACUUUGACAUUUCUGGUGAUGCUAUGGGGGGAGGUCAUAAACUUGAGGGGUGAAUUGUGUUUUUUCAGGACACUAGCAAAAUAAGCAGCAUCGCAGGGGCACUUUGUGGACAAUCAAGUCUGGGUUAAACUGGAACAUAAAGGUUUUUCUGGCCCAGGGGCAAAAUACGGAAGACCGACUACUCAGUGAUGUGUAUGACAAGGUCAUCAAAAUACUAAAUAAAUAAAUAAACAAAACGGUUUAUCUCUUA